GGCUAGCAGGAGUCCUAUUUAACAGCCUGUUCAAAGUUCCUGCUGGUUCCUCCCCGUGCAUCAACUAGCAACACCCUGGCACUAGGACCCCGCAGAGAGAGAACCCUGAGCCUGCGCUCUAAAGAGAGAGAUGCACCAUUUCACAACUUCAGCAAAAGCCAAAGCAGCCAACAAAGCCACAGCUACCUCAGCUACUGCUGGGCUUUGCCUUCUGGGCAGCUCGCCGGCCACUCCCCAGAAGCAGCGCAUUCUGUCCUUUCUCUUUUUAAAUCCACGUCAUUGUCUGAUCAUAAUGGAAAUCAAUCUCAAGUCACCAGGCAAAGGCGUAUCCAUGGCAACCUCAAGAGGAAGGACACGGAAAUGAUGCUCCAGUGGCUGCUAUAGGAAACGACUCCAGCCCCUCAAGGUCCAGAAAAUGGAAAUUAAGUCUAAAUCUCUGCCUUCUCUGAUGCUUCAGGGGAAUGCCAUUUUUGUAGAGGGCCAAUCUCUCCACCUUCCUCUGAGGACCUCAUUUAGCAAUCAUCCUUUCUCUUGUGCCUUCAAUUGCACCCUCUCUUCUGGCUCUCUACACAUCAGAUGACCCACGCUUAAGAGUCUUCCAUUCUAGGAAAAACUGUCUCCAGUCUCUGCUAUCUCCUCCUCAAGCUGCCACCAUCUUUCUUCCUUCCUUCCCUGCCAAACUACUCACAGGUAAAAGGACCACAAAGAGACGUCUAGACAUCAGAGUGCAGAUAUGGGACAACAUAUCUGGCUUUGGGGGUGACAGGGGCCCAGUCUCUGCUUCAGUGAAUCCCUCAGGGGAUAUGUAGGAGCAUGGGGAGGUCGACUGGACACCCAAUCUGCCCAUCCACUAGGUGAUACUCAUACUAGCUUGAACUUCAAAAGAAAAAUUAUAUAAAGCCAAAUCCAGAGUCUCCAAGAUGGCAAGGACCCUGAGAUAGGUCUGAAUCAGUCAACUGCUCAACACUUACCUCCUAAGGGGACACUGAAGAUGCAGUUCUCACUUCCCUUGAUAAGGGGCAGAUAGAUAACCCAAGUCCCCACAGCACCACCAAGUAGCCGUCAACAAGCCAGGCAACUUAGGAAUCCUCUAUUAUGAUCCCUCCCAACCUGUACCUCCAGGCAGCCACUAGCAAUGAUAGAGAUAGCAGAGUAAAACCUAGAGUGGCAGCUGUCAAUGGUAUUAUGAUUCUCCCCACUAUUCUGACUCCUCCCUAACAACUUCUUCUUUGUACCCACAUGUCAGUCUGGCUCAGCUUAUCAAUUCUUCCUCCACAUUGCCUCCUGCAUCCUCCAUUUUCCUCCAUUACCACUGUUAUCACUUUGGACUGCCAUUUAAUAGCUUUGAGAAUGUAAGGCAAAUCAUUUACCAUCUUUGGUGCCUCAUCCAUAAAACAGGAUGACAGCUGCUCUGUGUACCUCACAGGAUUAUUAAAUCAAAUGCGAUCAUGCCAGUGAAAGGUCCUGUAAUGUGUAAAAUGUUAUACAUAAAUAUAAGACAUUACUAUUAUUAUCAAUCGAAGGCCUCUAUUAUUGAUAUGGGAAGCACAUCUGGCUCCCUGCCUCCAUUUGUCCCCAUUUCCAACCACAUAUACACCACAGUAAGGCAUUUAUAUGCUCUAAAGUAUUUAUUUGCCUGUAUACACACCUGCCCAAAAUAUUUCACUGAUACACCAUUUCUUACUUUAAACAAUCCUAGACCUGACAUACGCAGUGUCACCUCUGCACCAGUCAGCUGCUUAGGAUGCUUUCCCUAGUCCUUUAAACCCCACCCAUCCUUCAAGGUCCAACUGCAGCCCCACUAUACGCCAUGAAGAGAGACUAAAUUUAAAAGCGAGAGAUCUGAAACAAUUUCAUGAAAGAAUUAAGGACUAUUCAGUUUGGAGAAAACUUGGUAGGAACAUUUGCCAUCUAAUACUUUAAGAGUCACCCUUUAAAGAGGGAUUACACUUUCUUUUCUCUAUGAUUCUAAAAGGUAAUCUAGGACCACCAGGAUGGAAAUUGCAGAGAUGUUUUCAACAACAUGAAAUAUUUCCUUCUUGAGCUAUCCCAAGAUGAAAUGGGAUGCCUUAUAUAUUGUAAAUUCCCUAUUAUUAGAAAUAUUCAAGCCCAAACUGGCCUUUUGGCAAGGAUAUUUUAGAUGGAAUUCAACUAUCACAAGAGUUAACUGGACUAGAAAUUAGCUCUGAA